UACGAAGGGGGCUAGCGUUGCUCGGAAUCACUGGGCGUAAAGCGCGCGUAGGCGGUUCUUUAAGUCAGGUGUGAAAUCCCGGAGCUCAACUCCGGAACUGCCUUUGAUACUGGGGAUCUUGAGUCCGGAAGAGGUGAGUGGAACUGCGAGUGUAGAGGUGAAAUUCGUAGAUAUUCGCAAGAACACCAGUGGCGAAGGCGGCUCACUGGUCCGGUACUGACGCUGAGGUGCGAAAGCGUGGGGAGCAAACAGG
rnacentral:rRNA from 1 species